rnacentral:lncRNA from 1 species
AAGAGCUAAUUAUUCAACAUACAAGUACUAUGAUUAACUUUAAAUCAUACACAUGCAUACUACUUUAACUAAAUUCUUUUACAACUUUGCAUCAUUUCUUUUAUACAUCACAUAUUCCUCAAAAUACAACUAUUUGUAUUUAAAAUGUAAUCCUUUACAUCAUUCAUUUAAAUAUCUUUGAUACAACUAAACUCAUCAAAUACAAAA